rnacentral:rRNA from 1 species
GCUGGAGUUGCUAGUAAUCGCGAAUCAGCAUGUCGCGGUGAAUACGUUCCCGGGUCUUGUACACACCGCCCGUCACACCAUGGGAGUCGGUAACACCCGAAGUCAGUAGUCUAACCGCAAGGAGGACGCUGCCGAAGGUGGGAUUGACGACUGGGGUGAAGUCGUAACAAGGUACC